rnacentral:rRNA from 1 species
UAGGGAAUCUUCCGCAAUGGACGAAAGUCUGACGGAGCAACGCCGCGUGAACGAUGAAGGCCUUCGGGUCGUAAAGUUCUGUUGUUAGGGAAGAACAAGUACCAGAGUAACUGCUGGUACCUUGACGGUACCUAACCAGAAAGCCACGGCUAACUACGUGCCAGCAGCCGCGGUAAUACGUAGGUGGCAAGCGUUGUCCGGAAUUAUUGGGCGUAAAGCGUACGCAGGCGGUUUCUUAAGUCUGAUGUGAAAGCCCACGGCUCAACCGUGGAGGGUCAUUGGAAACUGGGGAACUUGAGUACAGAAGAGGAGAGUGGAAUUCCACGUGUAGCGGUGAAAUGCGUAGAGAUGUGGAGGAACACCAGUGGCGAAGGCGACUCUCUGGUCUGUAACUGACGCUGAGGUACGAAAGCGUGGGGAGCGAACAGGAUUAGAUACCCUGGUAGUCCACGCCGUAAACGAUGAGUGCUAAGUGUUAGAGGGUUUCCGCCC